UACAGUUCUUAGUUCCUUAGGCAAGCAAGUACAUCGCAGAUGCACAGGUGAAUUUAAAGUACCCCUUGUAGUAAUACAAGAGCUACACUCAGGCAGGAGGUGAUGCAGGGACACUGGCACGAGUCAUGUCUAUGUAUGUGUUUCCUCUGAAGCGCAGGCAGGACGCUGUCAUCUCCCUUCUCGGCAGAGCUCAGUGGCGUCCGACUGCACCAGGGCACCUGUGCCCGGAGCCCUGCCAGCUGCCUUUCCUCCUCCUGCAUUCCAAGGUGUUCCUCGUCCUUCACAUACCCUUGGCUGCAGCUCGUCUGGCCUGUUUGCUGUUCCCCCGGAGGUCAUGCUUUGUGUCUCUAGCCUUUGGUCGGUGAGGGAUACCUUUUAACUCCUUAUUUGCUUAUAAGAGCCUAUUAACCCCACAAGCCUGAGUUCAAAUGCCUUCUCUUUCAUGAAACCUUUCUCAGUCCUACUAAGAAUCAAUCAUUUUUUCCUCUCUCUUCCUCAUUGCUGGCCUACUGUGUGUACCGCUUUACCCAUGUGGGCCUCUCUUAUUUAUAUCUGGCUGGUUUGUUCAUCUCUCCAUACCGUCACUCAACAAUACUUUUCUGAAAGCCUGUCUGUCACUGGCACUAUGCAAGGAUAUGGGGAUGUAAUGGGAAGCAGAAAGCAGACAUGGUGCCUGUGGUCUGGGAGCUCACGGUCUUCGGGUGGAGGGGGGCAGAAAGAGCACAAUGAAACCCCAAAGCUAAACCCGCAGCUGUGACCAGAGUGAGGGAGAUGGGCAGAUCGGUGUGCGUGUGUGUGACUGCAGUCUCCUUAGUGUCAGGGACAGCCUCUGGCUUGGUGGAGCCGGCAGUCAGAUAAGUCAGCUAUGGCAUGUAAUGAGGUACAUGCUCUCUGUCACGGGUUGAUCUGUGUACCCCCAAAAGAUACGUGGAAGUCUUAGGUUCAGUACCUGUGAACAUGACUGGAGUAGGGUUUUUGCAAGUGCAACCAAGUGAAGAUGAGGUCACCCUCGAUUCGAGUGGGCCCUUAUCCAGGAUGACUUCUGUCCAGUAAGGGGAGGAGACAAGACACAGACAGACAUGGGGGAGAUGGCUGUGGGAAGACAGAGGCCAAGACUGGAGUGGUGAGUUCACGAGCCGAGGAGUGCCAGGGGGAGGCGGCACCACCUCAAGCUAGAGGAGACAGACUGGAACGGAUUCUCCUUCCAGCCUCCGGAAGAAACCCUCUCUGACUACACCUGGACUUCAGACUUCCAGCCUCCAGAACAGUGCAGGAAUAGCAUCCUGGCCCUUCGUUCUCCAGCCCCUGCGUCCUCGGGCAUUUUUUGCUUGUCUCUCUGGUUGAAAUGGUUCACUUCAAGAUGGAGCGGCAAUGACACCUUUUCCCCUUUGCUUGUUGUUAGCAAUGGGUAGAGAAGGAGAGGACCAAGAUGUGCAGGGACACCUGUAAGUGACACGAGUCAGUUACUUACUCAUCCGGGGUGCUGCCCCCCUUCUUCUUGGAGUCCCUUCCCCUCCUGUUGCUUCCCAAAUCCUUGCGCUUGGCCAUCACAAUGCCACUUCUGUGGCACCUCCUCAAAUCUCCCAAAUCUCCAUUGCAUCAUUUUCCUAUAUGACGUUUUAUUUCGGUGGGUUUUCCCAAGCAGGUUGUGAGUCCAUGGGGGACAGGGAACUACAUUACCCCAGUGAGUACCAAGGAACUACCUCUUGAAUAAGUGUUGCAAUAAAUGAGUGAAUGAGCA